GAGAUCCAGAGGGAAGUCACCCACAUACCAUUUGUGAGAUGACCCCACUCACUGGCAGGGAUUUUAAAUAGAGUAGUUGGAAUUAGUGUGCGUGAUGACUUCCUCUUAUGCUCUGAGAUAUCUUAUUCUCAGUUCUUUGGGAAAGAGUGGAAGCUUUGAGCUGAAGACUUCUUGAAACAGCAUGUGGCUGCGCACCACUUGCCUACUGUACCAGUCAGUCCUGCGUUCACCCUCAAUCUGUCAUCUCGUCUCAGCCUUUGGGAGGAGGACGGACUGCAUGACAGAUGGGGGGAGCAUUGGAGUCUCAGUCGCCAUCACUUCGCUCGAUCCGGCUCUGAUCCGGCACCCCUGCAGUUGAGUGAACAGUAGACAAAUAUAAAUCUGUACGCUUUAAAGCUAGCUUUCAUCAGGAAAUGGCGCAGUCGCUCUGAGUCUCCACCAUACAGUACAUAGAUACACACCCAAUGAUUAUAAAGACAGAAAUUGUGCAUUUAGGUGCGCUACUAUUAGAAUUUUAUUUGUAUUUUUUUUGCAAACAAACCCAACAAUUUAAAGCAACGUGUGUUCUUGAAACAAAUUUUAUUCCACAAGUUAUUCAUUUUAGCUAUUCAACCAUAUGAGAUAUCCAGUUGUUGCCAAAUUAGCAUAUGCCUUUCCAACGUUAUGUCAGUAUUAGUGAAAACAUAAAUCCAGAAUGGUAGACCAUGCAUAAGUAGCCUAUUUUUAAUUAUAAAUAAACAUACAUUUCAUUCGGUA